AACAAGGUUUCCGUAGGUGAACCUGCGGAAGGAUCAUUACCGAGUUCUCGGGCUUCGGCUCGAAUCUCCCACCCUUUGUGAACAUACCUCUGUUGCUUUGGCGGCUCUUUGCCGCGAGGAGGCCCUCGCGGGCCCCCCACGCGCGCUUUCCGCCAGAGGACCUUCAAACUCCAGUCAGUAAACGUCGACGUCUGAUAAACUAAGUUAAUAAACUAAAACUUUCAACAACGGAUCUCUUGGUUCUGGCAUCGAUGAAGAACGCAGCGAAAUGCGAUAAGUAAUGUGAAUUGCAGAAUUCAGUGAAUCAUCGAAUCUUUGAACGCACAUUGCGCCCCUUGGCAUUCCGAGGGGCAUGCCUGUUCGAGCGUCAUUACAACCCUCAAGCUCUGCUUGGUAUUGGGCGCCGUCCUCUCUGCGGACGCGCCUUAAAGACCUCGGCGGUGGCUGUUCAGCCCUCAAGCGUAGUAGAAUACACCUCGCUUUGGAGCGGUUGGCGUCGCCCGCCGGACGAACCUUCUGAACUUUUCUCAAGGUUGACCUCGGAUCAGGUAGGGAUACCCGCUGAACUUAAGCAUAUCAAUAAGCGGAGGA
rnacentral:rRNA from 1 species